UUCAGGCUGUACUAGACAGCCCCGGCUAUCUGCUCACAAAUCUCAAUUUCCUCUUGUCCAGCUGCUGGGAAUGAGAAGAUCUCCAAACAAAACAGUAUCUGUCUAACAGAAGGGAACCAAUUAGUAUAGUAGGACAACCAGUAAGGAAUGCUUCUUUUUUAUCCCAGGAUAGUAAAAAAGAGUGUGCCUAUGGAGGUCUUGUUAGCAGAUGUGAAGUAAAGGGGGACACUCACUUCCAGAUGUCCAGGACCCCUUCCUAUUGCCAAAGUCCUCAGGGCAACAACCCCUUCAGAGUGCAUGUGCAAAAUACUUUUGGGAAAUUAUUGACUUCUGACAGAGAAGCAACCAUCUUCAGAGCUUUUUGAUUGCAAUUGGCUGUGAUAUCCCUGCUCAUGCCCUGCUGAGUACCAUGUGUUUCUACAGCCCAUCUCACACACAGCAACUCUACUUUCAAGGUGAUGGCAAAUGUGCACUACGAGAGAAAGUUGCUGUGUGGACAAGCUCUCUGGGGAUGAAGAAGUCCAAAGAAAAAGAGCCAUCAUGCUACUCCUCUUGCCGAGGGAUGCUCCUUGUCAUGACCUGAGUCCAGAGAGGGUGGCACGUAUCCUGGGGUGAUAACAGGAUCAUGGACAGUGAUUUUGGCAGGAAAUGUCACCCACACAGGCAAACAAGGGGCGUG